UUGGGAUUUUCUAUACGACAGGGGUCCGA
rnacentral:piRNA from 1 species